CUGGCGGCGUGCCUAAUACAUGCAAGUCGAGCGAACGGACGAGAAGCUUGCUUCUCUGAUGUUAGCGGCGGACGGGUGAGUAACACGUGGAUAACCUACCUAUAAGACUGGGAUAACUUCGGGAAACCGGAGCUAAUACCGGAUAAUAUUUUGAACCGCAUGGUUCAAAAGUGAAAGACGGUCUUGCUGUCACUUAUAGAUGGAUCCGCGCUGCAUUAGCUAGUUGGUAAGGUAACGGCUUACCAAGGCAACGAUGCAUAGCCGACCUGAGAGGGUGAUCGGCCACACUGGAACUGAGACACGGUCCAGACUCCUACGGGAGGCAGCAGUAGGGAAUCUUCCGCAAUGGGCGAAAGCCUGACGGAGCAACGCCGCGUGAGUGAUGAAGGUCUUCGGAUCGUAAAACUCUGUUAUUAGGGAAGAACAUAUGUGUAAGUAACUGUGCACAUCUUGACGGUACCUAAUCAGAAAGCCACGGCUAACUACGUGCCAGCAGCCGCGGUAAUACGUAGGUGGCAAGCGUUAUCCGGAAUUAUUGGGCGUAAAGCGCGCGUAGGCGGUUUUUUAAGUCUGAUGUGAAAGCCCACGGCUCAACCGUGGAGGGUCAUUGGAAACUGGAAAACUUGAGUGCAGAAGAGGAAAGUGGAAUUCCAUGUGUAGCGGUGAAAUGCGCAGAGAUAUGGAGGAACACCAGUGGCGAAGGCGACUUUCUGGUCUGUAACUGACGCUGAUGUGCGAAAGCGUGGGGAUCAAACAGGAUUAGAUACCCUGGUAGUCCACGCCGUAAACGAUGAGUGCUAAGUGUUAGGGGGUUUCCGCCCCUUAGUGCUGCAGCUAACGCAUUAAGCACUCCGCCUGGGGAGUACGACCGCAAGGUUGAAACUCAAAGGAAUUGACGGGGACCCGCACAAGCGGUGGAGCAUGUGGUUUAAUUCGAAGCAACGCGAAGAACCUUACCAAAUCUUGACAUCCUU
rnacentral:rRNA from 1 species